UCAGAUCUACUAAUUAAGGCCAUUCAAAUCUAUCAGAUCUCCUCUUUUCAUCUCAACCAAAUACACCAAAACAUACAAAUCUUCUCUUCUCUUCUCUUCAGAUCUAUCAUAUCAACCGGCGAACCUUUAAAUCUUCUCCUUUCUGCUCUCUUCAGAUCUAUCAUAUCAACCGGCGAACCUUUAAAUCUUCUCCUUUCUGCUUCUAACGAGACACCAUCGGGUAGCGCUUCGACAGCGGCCUCACGACGACGCUUGUUGGUGGCGGGUAGUGCUUCGACGGCGACGACUUGUUGGCAACGGUGACGACGACAACGGUUUAUCAGCUUGGUCGCACUGCUCCUUUGUCGUUCGUCGUUCAGAUUGUGAGGGAAUGGUUUCGACGGCAUAGAUCUGAUCUGGAGAUCUCGGAGGCCACCGCCGCUUGGUAGUUGAAGAGCCAAAGCCCUCUGCGCAUCGCGAAGCCGUAGAUGGUGAAGCAAGCGAGGAAGAGACGAAGCAGAAGAAGAGUCGAAGAGUCAAAGCUCUCUGUGCAUCGCGAAGCUGUAGAUGAUGAAGCAAGCGAAGAAGAGACGAAGCAGAAGAAGACUAUUCACAGUGCAUUUUUUAAAAAAUAUUUUUCUUUUUGCAUUUCUUUAAUUUUACUGUGUUAUUAUCUUUUUUUUUUAACCUUAUCUUCGUUGGUUCCCACUUGGAACCAUAGCAGGCGAAAUCUUUUAGUUUAAGCACCUCAAGGUGCGGCAACUUGCCAAUUGUGUCCAUCUCCUUCCAUGGAAGAUAAGUAUACCGAAGUGUCAACUUCUUAAGGUUUGGUGGAAAACCUGUUGGAAGACAAAAGCGCUCGACCCUUCCUACUUCAAACUUCAACUUCUCAAGUAGUUGUAAAUGCACAAGGCUCCCUAGAUGGCUAGGCCCCAAUAGGCCUUCAAUAUAAAUCUCAAGUUCCUUUAGGUUUGGAACCAUUUUGAAGUUUGGUUUUUCGUCGGAGCUAGCAAAUUUCAACCAAUAAAGAGUUUGUAGAUCUUU